UACGUAGGUGGCAAGCGUUAUCCGGAUUUACUGGGUGUAAAGGGCGUGUAGGCGGUCUUGCAAGUCGGAAGUGAAAUUCCCGGGCUUAACCCGGGCGCUGCUCCCGAAACUGCGAGACUUGAGUACUGGAGAGGAUAGUGGAAUUCCUAGUGUAGCGGUAAAAUGCGUAGAUAUUAGGAGGAACACCAGUGGCGAAGGCGGCUAUCUGGACAGUAACUGACGCUGAGGCGCGAAAGCGUGGGGAGCAAACAGG
rnacentral:rRNA from 1 species